UCCUGAUGUCUUAGCAAUAAAGAAUCUGCCUGCAAAGCAGGAGACCCUGGUUGGAUCCCUGGGUCGGGAA
rnacentral:tRNA from 1 species